ensembl:ncRNA Su(Ste):CR42409 Su(Ste):CR42409
AAAAAGACGAUGACUUUGAAGUCUACAAGUCAUAUUUCUGUGAACGAGUGAACUGGCAACAUGUCGAGCCCGUAAGUAACUAGGUUUUUCCUAUAGAAAUUAUAGCAAGUCACAGUAAAAUCUUGAACCCAGAACAAGAACAACAACAGCAGUUGGAUCAAUUGGUUCCUCGGAAUCAAGGGCAACGAGUACUGCCCACGCUGUAAAAACUACUUCCAUCCUAAAACUGAUACACAGCCAUGUUCGGGCCCAGCUGUCCGGACAUCUUAACGCAGCUGCCGAACUUGAGACCGCCCCUGGACGACCCACGGUAAGUAAUUCUCCGAAUAUAGUCCUGGUUGUUUUCUAAACAAAAGCCUUGAACUUGCAGUCCCUAUGCUUUCGGGUGCACCAGAAGGCCUUGAUGCCACUUAAAUCGCCCAAGUCCUCACCAAAGAAUAUCGGAUCCUCGGCCAGCUAGUCCUCCUCCUCGCUCCGGCAUUCCGAAGUCAAGCGCUUCAAUGUUCUUCUAGGGAUGACGUGAUUUUUUAACUCCACACAAAAGAAAGCAGAAAUGUUUGUCCGAUAUAUUGUUGUUGCAAUUAAACAGAUUCCGCAGUGCGUUGAUAUGGCCAGCUACCACCUACUAAUACAUCUCAUACACCUCUGCCCUAAAUACUUGGUUCAGUGUUCGGUCCAAGCUGGUCAUAUCAAGCACUCAUUCGAGUAGCAAAGCAAUUAACAUUCGUUAAUAGUGGUAAUCACCUGGGUGUAAUAAUAAUAUUAAUCAAUAAAACAUUCAAUUCAGUUUUUUAUUUAAUGUUAUGUUAAAAGAGUUUCCAAAAGUGUUUUCCUGACUACAUCAAAUAUUUUUUGAUAAUUUAAUUUCUUUAAAUAUACAAAUUCUAUACAAAUAGGAGUGAGUAGAAGGUUAAAACAUUAUUUUCAAUUUAAAAAAAAAUUAUAAUUUUGAUUCCAUCUUUUUUAUGUAAUUCUUUUUGUAGAGUAUUCAAUACUGGCAACUUCGUAUUUUAGUUUGAUUUCCCAUGCUGUUUUUGGUUAAUUUCCAACGUACCAGAUUGAUUUCGCGCGUAAAUUUAAACGCACUUUAUUGCCUUUUUGGAAGAACGUUGCUUCAAAACGGAAAAUCGAAGGAAACCCUGACCGGACCUAAGGGACAGCCUUGGGGGGAAAACUGGCACUGCAUUUUCCCAGCCCCAAAGAUUUUCCCCGGCACGUCGGGGAACUUAUUAUGAAAUAAAAGAACUAAUACUUAUUAUGCCAGCCGAACAUAAAACGAAUUUUCGAGUCUAGAGUUCCCAUCUGCAAGGGCAUGACAGAGUCCUGG